rnacentral:rRNA from 1 species
AGUAACGCGUGGAUAACCUGCCUCACACUGGGGGAUAACAGUUAGAAAUGACUGCUAAUACCGCAUAAGCGCACAGUACCGCAUGGUACAGUGUGAAAAACUCCGGUGGUGUGAGAUGGAUCCGCGUCUGAUUAGCCAGUUGGCGGGGUAGCGGCCCACCAAAGCGACGAUCAGUAGCCGACCUGAGAGGGUGACCGGCCACAUUGGGACUGAGACACGGCCCAA